rnacentral:rRNA from 1 species
AGAGUUUGAUCAUGGCUCAGGAUGAACGCUAGCUACAGGCUUAACACAUGCAAGUCGAGGGGCAGCAUGUUGGUUGCUUGCAACCAAUGAUGGCGACCGGCGCACGGGUGAGUAACGCGUAUCCAACCUACCCUUGUCCAUCGGAUAACCCGUCGAAAGGCGGCCUAAUACGAUAUGCGGUUCUCAGCAGGCAUCUAACGAGAACGAAAUGUGAAGGAGAAGGAUGGGGAUGCGUCUGAUUAGCUUGUUGGCGGGGUAACGGCCACCAAGGCGACGAUCAGUAGGGGUUCUGAGGAGGAAGGUCCCCCGACAUUGGAACUGAGACACGGUCCAAACUCCUACGGGAGGCA